AGAGGGCGGCUCUGUCCCGGUGCUGCCGGGCCUGCGGGAGCGGAGCGGCGUGAGGGAUUCUGAUGACAUCUUUGUAUUGAUUUCUCUAUCCCUGUGGAGAAGGAAGCAUCUGUGAGGAAUAUACCGAGGAGAAUAUUUCAGUGGUUUUCCCUUAACAGGAGAAGUCACUUUGUUUCUGUUGAGGAAAUAGCAAAAACUUAGUUGCUUCAUGCUCUGAUUUUUCAACACUGCCUAGAUGAGCUGUGAAUGUGCCUUAGCUUCACUAAAGAAUUUUUAAAAGACUUGCAAAGUCAAGUCCUUGCAGUGGAUACUGAACAACUCCAAAGCUGCUGUUAAUGUUGAUGAAAUUGUAUUGAGCAACACCAAAGCAUCCUGAGGGUGUAUGUGGUACAUGAUUCUGUAGAAAUCACAAAUUAGUAUCUAAGUCCAAAGGUUGGUUUAAUAAAGUUGGUGCUCCCUGGAAAAA